AUUGAACGCUGGCGGCAUGCUUUACACAUGCAAGUCGAACGGUAACAGCACUUCGGUGGCUGACGAGUGGCGAACGGGUGAGUAAUACAUCGGAACGUGCCUAGUAGUGGGGGAUAACUACUCGAAAGAGUAGCUAAUACCGCAUGAGAUCUAAGGAUGAAAGCAGGGGACCUUCGGGCCUUGCGCUACUAGAGCGGCUGAUGGCAGAUUAGGUAGUUGGUGGGAUAAAAGCUUACCAAGCCGACGAUCUGUAGCUGGUCUGAGAGGACGACCAGCCACACUGGGACUGAGACACGGCCCAGACUCCUACGGGAGGCAGCAGUGGGGAAUUUUGGACAAUGGGCGCAAGCCUGAUCCAGCAAUGCCGCGUGCAGGAUGAAGGCCUUCGGGUUGUAAACUGCUUUUGUACGGAACGAAAAGCCCUCUUCUAAUACAGGAGGGUCAUGACGGUACGGUAAGAAUAAGCACCGGCUAACUACGUG
rnacentral:rRNA from 1 species